rnacentral:rRNA from 1 species
GAUGAACGCUGACAGAAUGCUUAACACAUGCAAGUCCACUUGAACUUCGGUUUGGGUGGCGGACGGGUGAGUAACGCGUACAGAACUUGCCUCACAGUUAGGGACAACAUUUGGAAACGAAUGCUAAUACCUGAUAUUAUGAUUUUAGGGCAUCCUAGAAUUAUGAAAGCUAUAUGCGCUGUGAGAGAGCUUUGCGUCCCAUUAGCUAGUUGGAGAGGUAACGGCUCACCAAGGCGAUGAUGGGUAGCCGGCCUGAGAGGGUGAACGGCCACAAGGGGACUGAGACACGGCCCUUACUCCUACGGGAGGCAGCAGUGGGGAAUAUUGGACAAUGGACCAAGAGUCUGAUCCAGCAAUUCUGUGUGCACGAUGAAGUUUUUCGGAAUGUAAAGUGCUUUCAGUUGGGAAGAAAAAAAUGACGGUACCAACAGAAGAAGUGACGGCUAAAUACGUG